rnacentral:rRNA from 1 species
GGGGGGGGCAAGCGUUGUUCGGAAUUACUGGGCGUAAAGGGCUCGUAGGCGGCCAACUAAGUCGGAUGUGAAAUCCCCAGGCUUAACCUGGGAACUGCAUCCGAUACUGGAUGGCUUGAAUUCGGGAGAGGGAUGCAGAAUUCCAGGUGUAGCGGUGAAAUGCGUAGAUAUCUGGAGGAAUACCGGUGGCGAAGGCGGCAUCCUGGACCGACAUUGACGCUGAGUGAGCGAAAGCUAGGGGAGCAAACGGGAUUAGAUACCCCGGUAGUCCUAGCCCUAAACGAUGAAUGCUUGGUGUGGCGGGUAUCGAUCCCUGCCGUGCCGAAGCUAACGCAUUAAGCAUUCCGCCUGGGGAGUACGGUCGCAAGGCUG